UACGUAGGUGGCAAGCGUUGUCCGGAUUUACUGGGCGUAAAGGUUGCGUAGGCGGACAUUUAAGUCAGAUGUGAAAUACCCGAGCUUAACUUGGGUGCUGCAUUUGAAACUGGGUGUCUAGAGUGCAGGAGAGGUAAGUGGAAUUCCUAGUGUAGCGGUGAAAUGCGUAGAGAUUAGGAAGAACACCAGUGGCGAAGGCGACUUACUGGACUGUAACUGACGCUGAGGCAUGAAAGCGUGGGGAGCAAACAGG
rnacentral:rRNA from 1 species